rnacentral:rRNA from 2 species
UACGAAGGGGGCUAGCGUUGUUCGGAAUUACUGGGCGUAAAGCGCGCGUAGGCGGUGAUCUUUGUCAGAGGUGAAAUCCCGAGGCUCAACUUCGGAAUUGCCUUUGAAACGGGAUUGCUUGAGUCCGAGAGAGGAUGGCGGAAUUCCUAGUGUAGAGGUGAAAUUCGUAGAUAUUAGGAAGAACACCGGUGGCGAAGGCGGCCAUCUGGCUCGGUACUGACGCUCAGGCGCGAAAGCGUGGGGAGCAAACAGG